CCCAAAACAGUUUUUAGCAGAGAUCUGAUAAACAGCAGCGUCAUUUUGGGUACAGCUAGGAUGAAGUGAAGACACAGGCCACAAUCCCUCUGCUGGACAAACCAGCUACCCUGAAGAUACUAUGACUUGAGUGGGAAGAAGAGAAAGGAGGAGAGGAAAAUGAGCCCGAGAGAAACAAAGGACCAGCACAGCUGCUAAAGCACCAGCAGGCCGACCACCAAGAAGCCACCAUAAUUCAAAUUCCUCCCCCAGGAUCCAGAUGGCUGUCCGGGGAAUGGCUCUGUGCAGGAGGAAAAAUUAAACUGACAAAGACAGAUGAACAGGAGAAACACAUACAAAGUUUAUUGAAUUUAUACAUGUACGUGGAGCCUUCACAAGAGAAUGAAGACCCAAAGAAGUGACCAGAGCAGGAAGCUUUUAGGCACAGAAACAGUACAUUUGUGUGAAGGAUUGACAAGACAAAGGGUUCGGGCUGUGGGUAGUAAAUGGUGAAGAGCUAAUAGGAAGAUGAGGGUGCAUUUAACAAGGUUCGUUUGUACAGAGCUCUUGGCCCCAAUUUCCCUGUCUCUGGUGAUAAGAAGGCCUUCCCUUCUCCUGGCACAGAGAACGCACCUUUCACAGGGGAGUUUUAGGACCUGGUUCUGGGAAGAAAGGUCAGAGUGACCUUCCUGCUUCUUCCAUUAAAAAAAAAAAAUUCCCUUGGGACUUUCCUGGUGGUGCAGUGGUUAAGAAUCCACCUGCCAAUGCAGGGGACACGGGUUCAAUCCCUGAUCCAGGAAGAUCCCACAUGCCAUGGAGCAACUAAGCCCUGUUCAUCACAACUACUGAGCCCGUGUGCUGCAACUACGGAAGCCCACAUGCCUAGAGCCCAUGCUCCACCACAAGAGAAGCCACUGCAAUGAGAAACCCGUGCACCGCAAUGAAGAGAAGCCCCCAUUCACCACAACUAGAGAAAGUCGGUGCACAGCAACAAAGACCCAAUGCACCCAAUAAAGAAAUUAAAAACAAACAAACAAACAAAAAAGACCCUCUAAAAAAAACAAAAAAAAAUUCCCUCGGUUUAAGAUUUUCCAUAUGCCAAGGUACCAUAUUUGGGGGUAGCGUGUCCUGAACCCUAUCAGCUCUUUCCUCUCCCCUCAGAUCAGGACUCGGUAAAGAAUAUAACAAAAGUACUACAUGUGUUACAAAUCUUCACUGUGUGGGGCGCUGGAGGUACAGCAGGGAACAGACCGGACAAGCUUCUCUUCCCCUGGAACUUACCUUCCAGUUGGGGGAAGCUCACGACAAACAAAAAUACAAAAAAAUAUAUAUCAUGACUGGAAACAACCCAAGUGUCCAUCAAAGGAAUAACAACUCUGGUGGAUCCGAACCCGGAAACUCAGAGACACCACUCAGCCAUAAAAGGGAUGAACCACUGACAGAGCAGAUGACACAGAUGAUUCUCAAAAUACUUAAGUGGAGUGAAAGAGCCUGAUGCAAGAGAGUACAUGCUCCACGAUCUCAUUUAUAUCAAAAUUCUAGAAAAGACAAACUAGUCUCCAUGACCAAAAGCAGAUCAGUUGUUGUGUGAUGAUGGGUGGGCAGAGAGGGCAGGAAAGUCAGGGUGUAAAGGGGCAUUGAGAGUUCUUUUGAGGGGAUAGUUACGUCCACUCUCUUGAUGGUUCCAUGCGUGUGUGUAUGUGUUCAAGCUCACCAAAUUGAACACUUUAAACCUGUAGAGUUCACUGUAUGUCAAUUACACCUCUGCAAAGCUAUUAAAUGUGUGUGUGUACGCACGCGCGCGUGUAUACACAUAGAUAUAUACAUUAUGUCACGUGCUACAUGAAAAGUAAAGCAAGAUGAGGAAGGCAGGACAUGCUGGGAGCAGGAGGCCCUAUUUUAGAUGGGUCGUCAGAGGAGGCCUCAGGUGAUUUUGAGCAGAAACCUGAAGGCAGUAAGAGAACUGGCCAUGGGGUCAUCUGGGGAGAGAACAUUUCCGGUAGAAGGAGGAGCUAGGGCAAAGGCCCUGUGGGCCUGAGUAACACUGGAGCUCAGUGAUGGCUCAGAACUGAGUUAAUGCUUCAAUAUCUGGACUGAAUCAUUGCCCCAAGCUUCACACACAGUCUUGCAUCUGUCCUGCCUACCCCAGUAGAGUUCAUAUCUUUGGCCAGAGCUGACUUCUUAACACCUACAAAAGCAGCGGUCACACUACACCAGCUCUGGAAUCUGCACUAAGAUUCUCAUUCAAGAAUUCCAAGAUCUGCUUGAGCCCAUCUUCUCUGAAAUGGGCAGGCAGCCUGAUUCCACUUUCAAACUCUUAUGACUGAGAGUGAGUGUGUCUAACAAAACACAGAAGACCUCAGGGUAAAAAGAGUGAACAUUUACCUGGCAUUUGCUAAGUGCCAGGCACUGUUCUAAAAACCUUAUGUACAUUGUCUCAGCUCAUCUUCCCCCUGCCGGGAGCCGUCCAGGGAUUGCCUAAAGGCUCAGGCAAGGCCGAGCACUUCGGGAAUGGCCUGCAAGGCGGGAAUUCGGCUCGGGAGAGCUGCAAA